rnacentral:rRNA from 1 species
AUUGAACGCUGGCGGCAUGCUUUACACAUGCAAGUCGAGCGGCAGCGCAGGGGCAACCCUGGCGGCGAGCGGCGAACGGGUGAGUAAUGCAUCGGAACGUAUCCUCGAGUGGGGGAUAACCCAGCGAAAGUUGGGCUAAUACCGCAUGAGCUCUGAGGAGGAAAGCGGGGGACCUGCGAGGGCCUCGCGCUGGAGGAGCGGCCGAUGUCCGAUUAGCUAGUUGGUGGGGUAAAGGCUUACCAAGGCGACGAUCGGUAGCUGGUCUGAGAGGAUGAUCAGCCACACUGGGACUGAGACACGGCCCAGACUCCUACGGGAGGCAGCAGUGGGGAAUUUUGGACAAUGGGGGCAACCCUGAUCCAGCCAUGCCGCGUGAGUGAAGAAGGCCUUCGGGUUGUAAAGCUCUUUCGGACGGAACGAAAUGGGCGGGACUAAUACUCCUGUCUGAUGACGGUACCGUAAGAAGAAGCACCGGCUAACUACGUG